rnacentral:rRNA from 1 species
AUUGAACGCUGGCGGCAGGCCUAACACAUGCAAGUCGAACGAGUGGCGGACGGGUGAGUAAUGCUUGGGAAUCUGGCUUAUGGAGGGGGAUAACGACGGGAAACUGUCGCUAAUACCGCUUACCAUAGGAUGAGCCCAAGUGGGAUUAGUUAGUUGGUGGGGUAAUGGCUUACCGAGCCGACGAUCCCUAGCUGGUCUGAGAGGAUGACCGGCCACACCGGGACUGAGACACGGCCCAGACUCCUACGGGAGGCAGCAGUGGGGAAUAUUGCGCAAUGGGGGCAACCUGACGGAGCCAUGCCGCGUGAGUGAAGAAGGCCUUCGGGUUGUAAAGUUCUUUCGGUGACGAGGCGUUAAUCACAGAAGAAGCACCGGCUAACUCCGUGCCAGCCGCCGCGGUAAUAC